AGUGAACGCUGGCGGUAGGCCUAACACAUGCAAGUCGAACGGCAGCACAGUAAGAGCUUGCUCUUACGGGUGGCGAGUGGCGGACGGGUGAGGAAUACAUCGGAAUCUACUUUUUCGUGGGGGAUAACGUAGGGAAACUUACGCUAAUACCGCAUACGACCUACGGGUGAAAGCAGGGGAUCUUCGGACCUUGCGCGAUUGAAUGAGCCGAUGUCGGAUUAGCUAGUUGGCGGGGUAAAGGCCCACCAAGGCGACGAUCCGUAGCUGGUCUGAGAGGAUGAUCAGCCACACUGGAACUGGGACACGGUCCAGAGUCCUACGGGAGGCAGCAGUGGGGAAUAUUGGACAAUGGGCGCAAGCCUGAUCCAGCCAUACCGCGUGGGUGAAGAAGGCCUUCGGGUUGUAAAGCCCUUUUGUUGGGAAAGAAAAGCAGCAGGUUAAGACCCCGCUGUUCUGACGGUACCCAAAGAAUAAGCACCGGCUAACUUCGUG
rnacentral:rRNA from 1 species